UUCUAAUUCGGCUAUACUGAACAUUUUUAUAUUUAACAUUUGAAUUCCUAGCAAUUCUCAUGUAGUGACCAACCCUGUAAGCUUUAUUUGGUCAGAAGCGCCACUUGUGUUUCAAGCGCAAGAGCUGGUAAUCCAGGGCUAGUGUGCAUUUACAAAUCCUGACCGCAUGCGCAAGCAGAAGGCAUCUCCGUUUCAGAUCUUCAAAGGGUGGAAAGUGAUCUUUUAUAAAUGCUACUUUCGAUUAAAGAAGGCUAGAGAUGGCCGCCCCCAUGGAACAAGGGUAAAGCAAAAGAUGCACUAAAAUAAUUUGACUUCUAUGUAUUCACAACA